GCAUUGAUCAUGGCUCAGAUUGAACGCUGGCGGGAUGCUUUACACAUGCAAGUCGAACGGCAGCACGGACUUCGGUCUGGUGGCGAGUGGCGAACGGGUGAGUAAUGUAUCGGAACGUGCCUAGUAGCGGGGGAUAACUACGCGAAAGCGUAGCCAAUACCGCAUACGGCCCUUCGGGGGGAAAGCGGGGGACCUUCGGGCCUCGCACUAUUAGAGCGGUCAUCGGAUUAGCUAGGUUAGGGGUAACGGCUCGACUAAGGCGACGAUCCGUAGCUGGUUUGAGGAGGACGACCAGCCACACUGGGACUGAGACACGGCCCAGAUCACGGGAGGCAGCAGUGGGGAAUUUUGGACAAUGGGGGAACCCCGAUCCAGCCAUCCGCGCGUGCGAUGGAGGCCUCGCCAGCAAAGCACUUUGGCAGUGAAGAAACGGCACGGGAUAAUACCCCCGUGCAACUGACGGUACCUGCAGAAUAAGCACCGGCGACCACGUGCCAGCAGCCGCGGUACGUAGGGUGCAAGCGUUAAUCGGAAUUACUGGGGCGUAAAGCGUGCGCAGGCGGUUCGGAAAGAAAGAUGUGAAAUCCCAGAGCUUAACUUUUGAACUGCAUUUUUAACUACCGAGCUAGAGUGUCAGAGGGAGGUGGAAUUCGCGUGUAGCAGUGGAAUGCGUAGAUAUGCGAGCACAUCGAUACGCCGGCGGGCGCAGCUUCCUGGGGAUAACACUGACGCUCAUGCACGAAAGCGUGGGAGCAAACAGAUUAGAUAAUUCUGGUAGUCCACGCCCUAAACGAUGUCAACUAGCUGUUGGGGCCUCGGGCCUGGGUAGCGGCAGCUAACGCGUGAAGUUGACCGCCUGAGGAGUACGGUCGCAAGAUUAAAACUCAAAGCGAAUUGACGGGGACUCCGCACAAGCGGUGGGAUGCUGAUAUGCGGAUUUAAUUUUGAUGCAACGCGAAACCUGCCUACCCUUGACAUGUCUGGAAUCCCGAAGAGAUUUGGGAGUACAAACAGAACUGAACACAGGUGCUGCAUGGCUGUCGUCAGCUCGCCGAGAUGUUGGGUUAAGUCCCGCAACGAGCGCAACCCUUGUCAUUGGGUUGUUGCUGAAAGUGCACUUCAUCGAGACUGCCGGUGAGAACCGAGUGAAGGUGGGGAUGACGUCAAGUCUUGGCUCAGCGGUAGGAAGCCAUAUCGUCAUACAAUACGCCCGACAGAGGGUCGCCAACCCGCGAGGGGGAGCCAAUCCUAGAAACCCGAUCGUAGUCUGAUCGCGUUCAACUCGACUGCGUGGGGCCGGAAUUGCUAGCAUCGUGGAUCAGCAUGUCGCGUGUGAAUACGUUCCCGGUCUUGGUACACCGCCUGUCACACCAUGGAGUGGGUUUUACCAGAAGUAGUUAGCCUAACCGUAAGGAGGGCGACUACCAUGGUAGAUUCAUGACUGGGGUGAAGUCGUGGUAAGGUAG
rnacentral:rRNA from 1 species